rnacentral:rRNA from 1 species
CACGUAGGCACCAGGCGUUGUCCGGAUUUAUUGGGCGUAAAGAGCUCGUAGGCGGUUCAGUAAGUCGGGUGUGAAAACUCAGGGCUCAACCCUGAGCGGCCACCCGAUACUGCUGUGACUUGAGUCCGGUAGGGGAGUGGGGAAUUCCUGGUGUAGCGGUGAAAUGCGCAGAUAUCAGGAAGAACACCCGUGGCGAAGGCGGCUCUCUGGGACGGUACUGACGCUGAGACGCGAAAGCGUGGGGAGCGAACAGG